GAUGAACGCUGGCGGCGUGCUUAACACAUGCAAGCCGAACGGAAAGGCUCCUGCUUGCAGGGGUACUCGAGUGGCGAACGGGUGAGUAACACGUGGGUGAUCUGCCCUGCACUUCGGGAUAAGCCUGGGAAACUGGGUCUAAUACCGGAUAGGACCACAUUUUGGAUGGUGUGGUGGAAAGUUUUUCGGUGUGGGAUGAGCUCGCGGCCUAUCAGCUUGUUGGUGGGGUAAUGGCCUACCAAGGCGUCGACGGGUAGCCGGCCUGAGAGGGUGUACGGCCACAUUGGGACUGAGAUACGGCCCAGGCUCCUACGGGAGGCAGCAGUGGGGAAUAUUGCACAAUGGGCGCAAGCCUGAUGCAGCGACGCCGCGUGGGGGAUGACGGCCUUCGGGUUGUAAACUCCUUUCGCUAGGGACGAAGCGCAAGUGACGGUACCUGGAGAAGAAGCACCGGCUAACUACGUG
rnacentral:rRNA from 1 species